rfam:Neotoma lepida isolate 417 scaffold_613, whole genome shotgun sequence.
GAGAGAUGGCUCAGUGGUUAAGAGCAUUGGCUCUUCUUUCAAAGGACCUGGGUUCAAGUCCCAGCACUCA